rnacentral:rRNA from 1 species
UACGAAGGGGGCUAGCGUUGCUCGGAAUCACUGGGCGUAAAGCGCACGUAGGCGGACCGUUAAGUCGGGGGUGAAAUCCCAGGGCUCAACCCUGGAACUGCCUUCGAUACUGGCGGUCUGGAGUCCGGGAGAGGUGAGUGGAACUCCUAGUGUAGAGGUGAAAUUCGUAGAUAUUAGGAAGAACACCAGUGGCGAAGGCGGCUCACUGGCCCGGUACUGACGCUGAGGUACGAAAGCGUGGGGAGCAAACAGG